UCAUCCUAAAAAUAUAUAUAUAAUAAUAAUCGAGUUGAAAAUUAAAAUUCGAAUAAAAUAAAUAAUCGUAUAAUUAUUCAUCUUGCGAAUCAAAAGGAUUAACGCAGGGAAUUGGUUCAGAAAUCUUCGCCUUUAUCUUUAAUUCCGAAAAAGAGGAAAAAACUUGAAAGGAAGAAAAGUAAUAAUUAAAUCCUGAUUUGUUUGUUUGAAUAAUUAAUUCCACGUACCAGCUGAUAAAUCUAUCUCCACGAAAGGGGCUGAUGAAACGGUGUUGAAAAUAAAACGAUACAGUAUUUAUUGGCUUUCGGAGAGGGGCUUUCGUGACAAAUUACGAGCCAUAAUAAAUCUACUCCAGACUGUUACUUAUUAUCGUUCGGGACGCGUUCCUGGUUGGAGUUGCAGAGAACAAGAACGAACUAUUAUCCAAUAGUUACUUUAAAAUAGGACGAAGAAGGCAUUCCGUUUUUACAUACAAAUAAUAAUUUCAAGCUUAAAUUAACGCCUCGUGAUUUUCUGCUCGAUGAUCGAAUAAUUUCGAUAUUUACGAAUUUUUUUUGAAAAAUAUUAUAGAUGUCUUGUUAUUUCUACGUAUCAGUGACAGUGUUUUUUCAAUGAACGACAGGUAUUUCAUAAUGUGGGAAAAAUUAUAUUAUGAUUUUAGAAAGUUAAAUAGUUUUGGACUUGGAUUUAAUAUUCCAUUUAUAAAUCUAUUAUGUAAAAUCGUAGAUGAAAGUAUCAUAAGGAAGAUCAAUUUUUACAUUCUUUAUUCUUAUUCAAUAUUCUCCAUUAUUUGCCAAUCAAAGAAUAUAGAAGAUUAUUCGCUACUUAUAAUUUUGAUGAUUAAUGAAUGAAGCAAAAAUCUGAACAAUGACUUUUAAAAAACGUAAAAUUGUAAAUUGAACGAAUUUUAAGCGAUAUAAAAAAAAGAAAAAUGCAUAAACUUUCGAUCCUUUCUUUUACACGUUAACUUCGAUUGGAAGGGGAAACAAGAUUUCUGGAAAAAGUCGAAACGAAAAGGCAAAUCCAUCUCGUUUCUCUCCCUGAACGUUCGUAUACAGCGUGGAUGGAACGGAACUCGAACUCUCCAUUCCAACGAAACGAGAUUGACUGUAAAAGUUGGCAUUGUUGAGGAAAAGGGGAGAAGAACGCGAGUUCUGGAAAAGAGUCACGGGCCAGCCAUGUGUGUACAUACAUAAGUGCUCACGUACAGGGUGUUUCAUUUCGAACGUGAAAUAUUGGAUAUUUGAAGGAUCAAAAAUUUCACACACACACGGAUAUCCAAUAAUAAGAUUGGAAUAAUAGAAAAUGAAACGAUAAUUCCACGUCGUUUUAAGCUAUCAACUACUUCUUCCAUCGAUAUUAGAUGGAAUUUAAAAUACAGGGAAAUUUUAUUUUAAAUUGCUUCUUUAACUUACAAUUUGAUUCAUCGUAUAUUCCCUUCCAGUAUUUAUAAUCACAUUAUAUUCACCAUCAUUCUAUAUAAUUUAGUAAUACUCUCGUACUGAUUUAUAUUUCAAACUGUUCCUCCGUGUAGAAUUGCUUUCCGUAGGACAAAUACUUCUUGCAGGAUGGGGUCCUCUAUUUAUUCUUAAUGUUGUAAUCUCAAAAUUCAGAAGAUGGUGGACACUCUUUGUCCAAAAAGAGAGGUCAAGAUGGUCUUCUAAUUCUAGAAAUUUGAUUUUAUUUAGAAGAAAAAAUAUAACAGGUGGCUGAAUAAAUUAUUAUUCAACCCCGUUCGGUUGCAAGAACAAGCCUGUAAACCGGGAAAAAACGAAUCGAAGUCGAAGCGUUUCGUUAAGUGGUGGCUUGGUCGGGUCGGGAGAGGAGGCAAACGAGAUGCACAUCCAUCAGAGGCAGGGAGGAAAUGGCGAGGGUGUAGUAGGCGAUCCUUUAGAAGCAACAGCUUUCGUUGCUUUGCAAGCUCGGGGGUCUUCCACGAGACGCCCUCGUUCGUCCACGCGGUGAGAGAAGUUGGGAAGAAGUCUUGGCAUCGGCCAGAGAAAUCUCGCGCAGCCUGUAUUCAAGAACCAUGGAAGGAUAACCGUGGAAGGCGAGAUUAAAGGCGUGGUGGAACGUUUGGGACGAGGUAAGAUCUCCCAUUGUUUGUCGUUGCUUGGAAAAUCAUUGUGAAGAAAUUCAUGCUCUGGAAACGUUGUAAGGCAAAAGAAAAUAGAAUAGGAAAAUCAUUGUAAAGAAAUUCAAGCUGAAAGGAAACGUUGUAAUGCAAAAGAAGUAAAUAGUAUAAGAAUUUAUGGUAUCAACAAUUGACUUUUGCAUCUUGUUAAGAAAUUCUCCUAGUCAAUUCUUGGAACAAUUCUAUAUAAUGCACACUUUUGUAAUAACAAUGUUUUCACGUCGUGUACAACAAGGAAAAUAUAUUUUCUCUUUGAUACAAAUACUCGUCAUUGUCAGAGAGAAAUAUUUCCUUCCGAGGAGGAAAUUUAAAUUCUUGAUAACUCCAACUUGAUUACUCGUUGAAAUAUUUAUAUAUAAGUCUUUGAAACAUAGAUAGAAACGUAGACCAUUCCGCUUUGUAAGGGGUAUACACCAUUGUGAAAUAUUCAAAUGACAGCUUUUUUUUUUUUUUUUUUUUCAUGGAUGAAAAGAAGAGAGUUUCUGGUAAGAAACUGGAUUAAAAAAAGUCUGACUUGUAUAUUUUUACGUAUCGUUGGGAUAUUACAAAAUACAAAGAUGUUGAUAAUUAUUAAAUGAAUCGAUGUUUUAAUUUUUGAAAUGUUAAUAAAGAAUAACAAAUAAGGAUUUUUCAAAAUAAACAUAAACUAAAUCUCAGCUCAACAUAUCAAGUUUUAUAAACUAAAACUGUUCCAGAUAUUCUAGACUCGCAAAAAGAAUAGAGAAACAGGAUAAAGUGAUUGGAUGGAACGCGAUUGGUUGAAAGCGGUCAAUGGCUCUUGCUAAAAUUGUUCAACGAAACAAAUAUUCAAAAUAUGAAGGAAAUUGUUCAGACGACAUAAUGGCGCACAUUGAUUCGAUGAAUGGGUGGAAAACUCGCGCAAUUUAUGUCCAGCGAAAAAGGAAUUUCCGAAAAUUCCAUUAACCAUUUAAUUCCAUGCAAAGUGAACAUUAAAAUCGCGGACUAAAUUCCUUUCGGCAAACAGACGAGCAACCUCUUUUCCCUAAAACCGUAAUCACGUUUAUCACGGUCGUGAUCGUUUCACGUCUAAAACGAAUUCUCUUGCCAAGUUUUUCUUUUUUCUCUCUCCCUCCUUCCCUUCUUUUUUCCUCUCUCUCAUUUUUCCUUUCUUUUUUUCUUUCUUUCUCUUCUCCUCCUUCUUCUUGUUCUUUUUUCAUCUUCCCUCGAAACACAUGCAAAUUAAUCGCAUUAUCAACGAAUCGAGCAUAUUGUUCUCUCCCUUUGUUUUCCGGGAACACAUCGAGAAAUUGAAAAUUUUGCCAAUGUUAUAGGUAACGUAAAGAAACGGUUAUAAACCAGGGGGAUCCAGGAUAAUUUAUGGAGAAGGCAUGCCGCCAAGAUUUAAGGGUACUUAUAAAUUUUCAAAACUGACGAAUAUUGGAGACUCGUUCAGUCAAGUAUUUUACUUGUUAGCAAUGAGUAUCAAAUAUUUCAUAUUUGUUACUUGGAUUUAUAUUUAACUAGAUUAAACUCGAUCCCAUCUACCGUUGGUGCUCGAAUAAGAACGAAACGUUGAAAAAAAGUGAAGGAAAAAAACGAGAAUGGAGAACAGUUGACGAAACGAAAAAAGAAAAAAAAGACUGGAAUCACAACUUGAACAUCGAAUGACUGGAACUUGAAAAAGGAGGACAAAAAGCUGUAUAGCCCUUUCAACGUAUCGUUCCACGAUCCCGUCGUCGAAAGCCUUUGCACGAUCGUUUUUCCCGCGUUUUUUUCUCUCAUUCCUUCUACUUUCUUCGACCCCCGUAUCACUCUUGUUUCGAGCAUUAAUUUCUCUCUCUCUCUUUCUCUCUAACCUUUUUUCUCUGUCUAAUAGAUGCCAUCUAAGGACAAAAACUAUUAUCGACACGGAAAAAUAUACGAGUACAGAUCAGCGAGGCGAAAAUCAAAUAGAAAAUAAAAUCAAUAAUAACAAAAUUGCAUUGAAAGAGUUUAAAUAAUUGUCGAAUAUAAAUAGAAUUUGUAAUUAAUUUGUAUUUCUAUAAAAGAUAGUAAGAAUUUUUACACUAAUAAAUAAAUCAAGAUGAAAAAUAAAUAAACAAAAGUGCACUUCGAUCUUCGAUCACACGAAGAAUAGGCUCGUGAAGAGAAUCCUCAGAGAAUCGCAGAUUAAUCGAGCAAUUACGAUCACGAUAUAUCCGUCGUUUCACGGAUCGACGCUUUUGAAAUUUUGAACGAGAGAUCGUGCCCACGUGGACACGAUUUUCUCGACCACGGAGGCGUUUCCACCGAGACGGGCCUGUUUUCACGAUAAAGAUCUUCGAUAGUUGGGCCCAUUACCUGUUGCACACACUUUGUGAAAGAGUGACAUAACGUAAGGAGAAGCAGAAACCGGCUGAAUCGUAUGUGGGAGUAAUCCUUGCGCCGUGUAGGCCGAUCCCAAUUUCCUUCUUUUAAUCGAAUCACGUGGAUGUCUGUACGUCAACUUUUAUACACAUUUCUUUAAUCCUCUAACGUAUCUUUUUCAAAGGGAAAUCGUCGAAGAAUUCAUCGCAAUGCAUUUAGUUGUGGGAUGAAAGUAAUUGAGGAGGAAAUUUCCAAGAAGGUAAUUACGUACUUGUUAAAUUUAAUAUUCUGACGAAAGAUAAGUUACUGGAAAAGAAGACAGACUUUUCCCUCCUUUUUUCAUUCUUCCCUUCGUAAGUAUUCUUUCAACUUUUAUACACAUUUCUUUAAUCCUCUAACGUAUCUUUUUCAAAGGGAAAUCGUCGAAGAAUUCAUCGCAAUGCAUUUAGUUGUGGGAUGAAAGUAAUUGAGGAGGAAAUUUCCAAGAAGGUAAUUACGUACUUGUUAAAUUUAAUAUUCUGACGAAAGAUAAGUUACUGGAAAAGAAGACAGACUUUUCCCUCCUUUUUUCAUUCUUCCCUUCGUAAGUAUUCUUUCAACUUUUAUACACAUUUCUUUAAUCCUCUAACGUAUCUUUUUCAAAGGGAAAUCGUCGAAGAAUUCAUCGCAAUGCAUUUACAUUGUGGGAUGAAAGUAAUUGAGGAGGAAAUUUCCAAGAAGAGCCGAGUAUCAAUUUGCAUAAUGCGUGUGCACUUCGGCCGAUUAAUGCGAGACGUGGCUGGAAUAUUUUUUUUUUUUUUCGAAAACGUUAAUUCGAAUGUUCGUCGCUUUUAUGCCGGUGAUUAAUUUAGUGGGGAGCUAAUAGAGUGGAGAAAAAUUGGAAAAAUUCAGGUAUUAAAGGUGUAAUUAUAUGAUUAUUAUUUUCUAUUGGGAUAGGUUUCGAUUUGAUUUUGUUCUUCCAGGUUGUAUUCCUGUAUUUUUUUUGGAUUAUUUUUAUCGAUUCAAAUCAUGAAGUUUAAUAUUGUUUAAAGAGAUAAAUUAAAGUAGCGAGGUGAUAUAAUAUUUGCAGAGAAAGAUUGAUCGAUAAAGAAGAUAAUUUUAUUGAAAUUUUCGUACGCGCAUGUAACGUUGUCAGCGAUUAUUUUACAAUUUUCCUCGAAAUAGCAGGAUGAAAUAAAUAAAGUAGGAAUAAAAUAAUAUCAACGAAUUUCACGGUUCGUAAAAACUAUUUUCCAUCUCUCCCAAAAGUGUAUUACAUCCGCCCACUUUCUCUCCACGUGGCAAAGGAUAUACCCCCCGUGGAGUAUAAAUCGAUUUUCAACAGAACUUUCAUCGCAUCAGCGGAAAAACAAGCCGGCCAUCAAUGUCGAUGAAUUUUCACUCGUGAAAAAUUGCACGCCCACAGCAGAGCUGCAAUUACUUUACACGCACGUUUAUUUUUUCACCCACUCUCGAAACAAACGUUGGAAGAAAACGUAACCGAUUUUCAAAACUUGCCGAUUCAUUGUUACGAACUGCUAUUAUAAUGUUUUUUUUACGACUCUUUUAUAAUAAACUUACUUUGGGGAUGUUAUAUCGGAUAUUCAUGAAAUAUUUUUGGAUUUCUGCAAAAACAAAGAUUUUUAUUUAUUAAAAUCUUUCCGCCUCGCUGGUAUUAUUCGAUAUUUUUCUAUUUAUUUUCUCCAAAUUCUUCCAACGGAUGGAACAAUUUACAUUAUAAUUUAAAAUUUAUCUCUCAUUAUUAAGAACCAAUUUCCUCUUUCCUCAAAAUCGUUACAAUUAAAAUCUUUUUCUUUUCAACAAUUUAUUAACAAAGUCCACAUAAAACAAUUGUUAAAAAUUAUUCGAAUGAAAAUAUAUUUCUUCCACAGUUUGAGAAACGUAUUAACAAUAAAUUUAUUCAAAAUUAUCACAUCUCCAGAUUCGAUUUGAUUCGAUCGAAGACAGGACAUUGCCCGUUGUUAUUUUCCUUUCCUUGAUACUUAAAUGUAUUUAUUUACAAGAGAUAUCGAUACCUGGCAAAACGUCGUCCCGUCACGACAGGAAGAAGUCACUUCGCCGACUUUCCGCUCCGUGUCUAAUAGACCGUUUGACGCGUACACAUCGUAUAAAGCAAUCGGCGGUAUCACGUGAAAGUCGGUGGAGUUAGCGACGGUAUAAUGUAUAGGCCGAUGUUUGAUUAAUGAAACGUGCCGUAAAUUGAUAUCUCGACACGUACGAGCGGCUAUUUUCGCUAAACAUUCAGCUGAACAUUUAUUUCACUUUGUUAUCGGUGUAAUUUUAUCGUGAUCGGUUUUCUUAACGAUUCGACGCUUGGUCUCGGUUCUUAUUCAUUCUUUCUUUCUUUCUUCUUCUUCUUUUUUUUUUCCUGUUAUUAAGUAUAACGAGUUAAACACGAGUUAAGCAUGAUGUAUGUGACGUGGAAAUUUAUUUGUAUAUUUAUAAAUUUCGUGUCUGACGUUUUUUAUUAAUCGUAAA